ACGACUCUUUCGAAGGCGUACGUUGACCUUGUAAAGGCAUGGGGUUGGAAAAGCUUUACCAUCAUAUACGAGAACAACGAAGGACUGGUGCGAUUGCAGGAGCUUUUAAAAGCUCACGGUCCGAGCGAAUUCCCCAUUACUGUUAGGCAACUCAGCGAGGGCUCGGA